UGUUUAUUAUACUUUGUUUCUUGGUAAUUAUUUUAAAUAUUUGUAUAUGUUUUUAUUGAAACAUUUAAUGAUAAAAAGCUAAACAAUGAACGUUUUUCCCCUACAGAUUUUUUGUCAGCAUUUUAAUUCAGAGGUGGAUUCCAGUGGGUGGAGGAGGGCCAUUAUACACAUUUUUUUUCUUUCAGGUAAUAACUUGUUUGUUUGUUUAUUAUACUUUGUUUCUUGCGUAAUUAUUAUAAUUAUUUGUAUGUUUUUAUUGAAAGUAACAUUUAAUGAAAAAAAGCUAAACAAUUGUAACCCACCUUAAAGUUUGAUUACUAAGACCAUAACUUUAGUAUUAGAUUGCUCAAUAACUAUAUAAACAUAUACAUAUUAAGACACAGAAUAAAUAUAAAUAUAGCAAGAACAAAAAGCUGUUUACAUUAUAUGUUUUUAUUUUUCAUUUUCUUUUGGUCUGCUUGAAAGUGUUUAAUAAAAGACUUUAAAUUUGUUAUAGCCAACUUCAAGGUGACUGGUUUGUUUUUGAAUAUAUUUGAAAAGACUGUUAUUUUGGUGCAGUUAUCUCCUAGGUGACGGGUUUGUUUGUUAUUCUGGAGACUCCACUUGAAUUGUAAUUAGACGUUAUUCAUAACCCUUUUAAGAAAAAUUAUACUUUUGUAAUAUAAUCUAACAAUUUUUAUAAAUCUGAAUCAGCUUACCAUUCCUGGUACAUAUUUUUUCUACAUAUUGUAGAGGCUAGAAGACCUGUGUUGUUUUAUCCCAAACUCCGAUUGGUUUUUUUAUUGAGCUGGAACACUGGAUGGCGAGUCAGUCCCAUUGGAUUUCGAUUGAACUGGUUUUCCUUUUCACACUGGACAACCGAACCCCUUGAACUCUACCCUUGGAUCAACCUGUGUUCCUUGGACACAGAUAAGCCUUCACACAUACACUGACAUAUACACCUUACAUACCCGGGUACAGGACUAUUUCUUUUCUUUUAAUCAUUUUAUUGGAAAGCUUUUAUUUGAAACUUUGGGAAAAGAGCUCUUAUUUAUUUAUUUUAUUAUUUAUUUAUGUGUAUUUAUUAUUAUUAUAUAUUUCUCAAUAUUUAAUAUUUCUCAAUAUUUAACUGUGGUUCUCUCUUUUGUGAUCAGAAUGAAAUAUUUUAAAUAAUUUAUUGCUGUAAUAAAAUUACUGCAUUUUUCUUCCACUCUUA